CGCGUGGGAACAUACCCAGAGGUACGGAACAACAGUUGGAACGACUGCUAAUACCGUAUACGCCCUACCGGGGAAAGGAAUUUACGUCCUUUCGGUAGUUGGUCCCGCCGUUGGAUUAGAUAGUUGGUGGGGUAAGUGGCCUACCAAGUCGACGAUCCAUAGCUGGUUUGAGAGGAUGAUCAGCCACACUGGGACUGAGACACGGCCCAGACUCCUACGGGAGGCAGCAGUGGGGAAUCUUAGACAAUGGGCGCAAGCCUGAUCUAGCCAUACCGCGUGAGUGAUGAAGGCCCUAGGGUC
rnacentral:rRNA from 1 species